AAAGAAAGCAUGAUUACAGGAUGAUCUUGAUGUGUUUCCACCUUCAAAUUCUUGUCUCCAAGCUCCUUGAUCUUCAAAAGUUCUCCAAAUUGAUGUUUCCAAUGCUAUUUUUCGAUCCCCUAUCUCAGAUCUGCGUUUUCCUUUUAUAACCGGAGUCAAUAAAUGAGAAUUUCGCCUCAGGCACAAGCAUUUUCGCCCCAGGCACAAAAUUUUCGCCUGAGGCACCAACAUUUUCGCCCCAGGCGAACAGGCAAACAGAGAGGUACUUUUUAUGGUGAAAUUUUCGCCUGAGGCACAAGAUUUUUCGCCUCAGGCGAAAUAGCAAACAGAGAGGUACUUUUCAACUGGAACUUUUCGCCUCAGGCACAGGAUUUUUCGCCUGGGGCGAAAAAAGCAAAAUAUUAGCUAUUUUUCUUCAUUCUUCAGCUACUUUCAUCCUUUGCAAAUAUCUUCAAACUAGUGCAUUAUUCUUCCAUGAAAUGAGUUACAAUUCUUCUAAAAAAACACUUGAAAUUGGUCUUAUUUUCAUGUAAUGACGCAUGUCAUCACUUAUCAAUUACUUGC
rnacentral:lncRNA from 1 species